AGCGGGCAAAAUUCCCUCUCUUUUUUUCCCUCAUUUUUUCAUAGGGCACGAUAUGUUUCAGAAGGGCUCAAUUCCCCCUCCCCAACUCACGAAAUCUUUCAAGAGGCUCAAUUCCCCUUCUUCAUCAUCUUCUCUACAUAUUGUAAUGACAAGGUGAUGCACAUCCAUCGAAGAUUAAAUGCUCUAGUACCAAUGCAAAGGUUUUGAGAUUGAUGGGUUGGUAUGAUAGCACUGAUGGGUGAGUUUUCUUAACUUAUUUAUUGGCAAGACACUCUUUUCAGAGAAAACUUAUCUUUUAUAUAACAUGCUUCUUGAAUUACAUGAAGCUACAAUAAUUGAAGACCAUUUGCUCCAUUGAAUAUCAGUUGCAUUAAGUACUAUAGAGUAAUUUAUUUCAUAUUCUCUUACAACUGUUAUUGAUAUAGAUACUGGUAGGAUUCAUAUCUUAGAAGAUUUGAUUAAGUUCCUCAAGAUAUAUGAGAUGUUGAAGUAAGCUAGUUGUAUAUAUAUUUCAUUUGUUAUGAUACAUAUAUUUGAAUUUGUGAUAUUUGUUACUCUAGUUUAAGAAAUACUUCUAUCAUACUCCUUCCCAUUUCCCUUUUCAUAAUGCAUGAUCUGCUCGGGUGCAAAGAUGCAUGGUGAAGGAAUAUAUUUCGCUGGUGAAUAUGUGUGCAAAAGUUUCAAGAUUAUUUACUGAUAUAAUAGUAUUGAUGGGUAAGUUAUGCUUCGUAACUUGUCUCUUGACCAAGUGUUCGUUUCGUAGAAAGUUUACUUUUUAUAUAAUAAACUUCUUGCAUUAUAGGAAGCUAUAAUUAUUGGAAGAACAUUUGCAGCAUUGAACACCCGUUGAAGUUACAAAGAAAUGGUAGCCUUGUGAACAAUUAACACAAUUGGCUCAUUGACAUCUUGCUAUAUAUGUGGCUACAGAUAGAUGGAAACUUUAUAUACAAGUCUAAACUCACAAUUUAUAUAAAUCGGUGGUGGUUUUCUUAAUUGCAUAUAGAUUUUUCUUAUUCCUAAGACUACUGCUUACUGAAAAAUACAAUAAUUUUCAGAAACAACAGAGGUCCCUGGCUAGUUGAUCAUGUUAUCAAUUUUUCCACUUAUGGUGAUAGGUGAUCAUGCUAUCGAUUUUUCCAACUCAAAUAAUAUGAAGGGCAUAUAGUAAUUAUUUAAUUAGCUUAACAAUAUUUUUUUCCUAAAAUUUUAAUGGAUACUGAGAUGGUUAACAGAUGAAGAAGAACAACUUAAAGAAACUAAUCAAACAAAAGUUCUGGAAUUCAAUUGUUGAGAUGUCAAUUAUUACUAAUACAGAUUCUACUGGAAUUCAUGCCUUAGAAGAUUUGAUUAAGUCCCUCAAGAAACGAGAUGUUCAAGUAAGCUGCAUAGUGAUGUGAAGAGCGAGUCUGCUUCACCCGUGGGUAUAAGAGUAUCAUCAAGUGACGGCAACACAAAUCACCAAGCAAGUACUUUGGAUUUUUGUAUAUUUAUUCAUUGAGGAACUACCGAACUACUCUAGAUUGUCUAACAUUAAAGUUAUUAUAUACUUUAUGUGUUUGUAUAACUUUAGUUUUAU